GCAAGUCGAGCGCACCUUCGGGCUUAGUGGCGGACGGGUUAGUAACGCGUGGGAACGUGCCUUUCACUACGGAAUAGUCCUGGGAAACUGGGUUUAAUACCGUAUACGCCCUUCGGGGGAAAGAAUUUCGGUGAAAGAUCGGCCCGCGUUAGAUUAGAUAGUUGGUGGGGUAAUGGCCUACCAAGUCUACGAUCUAUAGCUGGUUUUAGAGGAUGAUC
rnacentral:rRNA from 1 species